CCUCUGCUCAGGCAGUGAAUGUCCCAACAGAAGACGGUAGCGUGUUUGAUUCUGAUCAGGAAGCUGACAAGCCAAUCUCAGAGCCCGACACGCCUGCCAAUCACCUACCAGCACCGAACAGGAAGUGGGCGAGCACAAGAGCAGGAAGUCCCUCCCCUGUACUGCAGUGAAACCAGGCUCAGCGUCGGACCCUGCCAAUCGCCAGAGCCCCCACCGCCACAACUCUGAGGACAACGGCUCCAAACCCAAGGACCAAUCCCCUGACAGAGACAAGGGACCGGGGAGAAAGUCUCCCCGAUCUGGAGAAGAGGCCGACAAAGACUUUAUUUUUAUAUGAGAAACUAAACUCUCAAUGAAUGACAGGUGCAUUGUACCUGCCUGUCAUCUCAGUAUAUCUGAUGUCAGGAAUCGGACAGCGACGACCGUAUGUCUA